GGAAUCUUGCGCAAUGGGCGAAAGCCUGACGCAGCAACGCCGCGUGCGGGAAGAAGGCUUUCGGGCUGUAAACCGCUUUCAGUAGGAACGAAACUGACGGUACCUACAGAAGAAGGAGCGGCCAACUAUGUGCCAGCAGCCGCGGUGACACAUAGGCUCCAAGCGUUGUCCGGAUUUAUUGGGCGUAAAGAGCUCGUAGGCGGUUGAGUAAGUCGGGUGUGAAAACUUUGGGCUUAACCCAAAGAUGCCACUCGAUACUGCUUUGACUUGAGUUCGGUAGGGGAGUGGGGAAUUCCUUGUGUAGCGGUGAAAUGCGCAGAUAUAAGGAGGAACACCGGUGGCGAAGGCGCCACUCUGGGCCGAUACUGACGCUGAGGAGCGAAAGCGUGGGGAGCAAACAGGAUUAGAUACCCUGGUAGUCCACGCGGUAAACGGUGGUCACUAGGUGCGGGUCUCUUCAAACGAGAUCUGCGCCGUCGCUAACGCAUUAAGUGACCCGCCUGGGGAGUACGGUCGCAGGACUAAAACUCAAAUGAAUUGACGG
rnacentral:rRNA from 1 species